AUUGAACGCUGGCGGCGUGCCUAAUACCUGCAAGUCGAGCGAAGCGGGGACGGGUGAGUAACAUGUGGAAUACCUCCUCUAUGACUGGGAUAACCUAGGGAAACCGGAGCUAAACCGGAUACUUAUCGAUGGAUCCGCGCUGCAUUAGCUAGUUGGUAAGGUAACGGCAUACCAAGGCAACAAUGCAUAGCCGACCUGAGAGGGUGAGCGGCCAAACUGGAACUGAGACACGGUCCAGACUCCAACGGGAGGCAGCAGGAGGGAAUCUUCCGCAAGGGGCGAAAGCCUGACAGAGCAACGCCGCGUGAGUGAUGAAGGUCUUCGGAUCGUAAAACUCUGUUAUUCGGGAAGCGGUACCUAAACAGAAAGCCACGGAAAACUACGUGCCAGCAGCCGCGGUAAUUC
rnacentral:rRNA from 1 species